AGAAUAUUGUGACCAAUCGUAAGCAAGACGUUAAAGUGCUGUAAACAGUGUAAACACUAUUAUGUAUAAAACUAUAAACAUUUUUCACGCCGAAUGCCGGUCGAAUUAAUAAAAUAGGCACUUUUGACCCAUCGAUCUUCGCCGAAAACCAACUAGUCAAUUAUUAUUUAAUUUUAUUGAAAAUUAUCACCAACUUCCAUCAUGAGUAAAGCACAUCCUCCAGAGUUGAAAAGAUAUCUGGACAAGAAAUUACAAUUAAAAUUAAAUGCCAAUAGACAGGUAGCAGGUGUACUACGUGGUUUUGACCCAUUUAUGAAUCUUGUAUUAGAUGAAACUGUAGAAAAAAUUAAGGAUGGAGUUGUGAAUAGUAUUGGAAUGGUGGUUAUAAGAGGGGAUAGUGUUUUAACUAUCGAAGCAUUGGAUCGGAUUGAUCAACAUUAAACAAUAAACUCAUGUAUUUUUCUGUUAAUAAAUAAGAAAUGUUCCAUCUUCUUUAUAUGACGACAAUAUAUCUUCGAUUUUAACACCUUGUAAUAAUUUGGAAGCAAUUUCUAGUUUAACACUUUUAGAAAUUCGUAAAUGUGCAAGAUCAGCUUCAUGUCCAUAAUGUGUAUGAAUUCCUUGAGAUUUUAACUUUCGCCUACGACUUUGUAAUGCACUCUGGUAACUACCUGAACGGUUGCAGUACCAAUAUUCUACUCUACGUCCACUGCGUGACAAAUUUUUACGAUGAUAAAAGCAACUGCGAGUUUCUGAUUCAUACUUUACUUUCCAAUUUAAAAAGUCUGAAAAUAACAGAAUUAAAUUAGUAAUAAUUAUAAUUUAAUAUUAAAAUGUAAUUUAAUUUAUAACUAAAUAUUGUUUUCUCCAAUUUGAUUUUAACAAAUUAAAUGUGAUGCAACAGACCAGUAACAAUUCAAGCAAAUCAAUACAAAAGAUCAUAGAUGAAUGAAAAAAUUUGUUAUAAGUAUAUACAAUAGAAAUCAUUUAUAAUGAGUAGAGCACGGAUGUUGUAAUAUUAAAAAACUAGAAAAAUUGAUUGCAGUAUUACACUAAAAAAUACCAAAAAUUGCACUAAUAGCGUUUUGUUAUAAAUGUUUUAAAUUUACUGUUACAAUAUUAAAUUCUACUAAAAAUAUAAAUAUAAAUAAUCAAUAUUCUAUUCAAAGUGCCUGAAGUACAAAUUAUAACAAUAUAAUGCAUGAUUAUCAAAUACCUAAUCAUAUUUCACAAAUUAUUUUUGUGUUGUUUUACCUACUAGUAACCUACCAACUUGAAAUUAUGUUUUAUUUUAUAAAAUAACAUAGAUGUUACGACGGUUGAGUGUUAACUAUAUAACUAAAAUAGUUGUAUAAAUGAGUAAAUUCAAUAAAAUUGCAAAAAAAAUCAAAAAAUUGCACUUAAAACUUAUAGAUAUUAGUUCGUACUUACACGACACACAUUUAAAACAUACUUAGCAAUAUAUUGAAAAAGUAAAAAAAAAAUUGCAAAUGCAUAUAAUAAUGAGUAUCACUUGCCAGCGAGUUUUUCUUGUUAUGAUCGGUAGCAAAUACAAUUAGAACGAGCAUUUAUUACUACUAAUUAGAGAAGCACGAAAUACAAGAAUAAAAUAGACAAUUUUAUUUAACUUAUAAUUGAGAUAAAUCCCCAAAAUACUGUAUUUAAAUAAAUAUAUCUAUUAUUUAUUAUUAUUAAAGAAUAAAGAUAGAUACAUUUUUAAUUUAAUAAUUAGAUUUAAUAGUAUAUAAAUACAUACAUAAAAUUAAAUAAACAUAAUUCAACAUUCUCCUACACUUGAGUUUAAUUUCUUAAAAUAAUAUUUAAUCAAACUUUGCUUUAUGGAAUAUCUAUUAUAUGUUAAUCAACAUUUUCCAAUAAAAACUUCACUUUCCUUUCAUCAUCAGCAUUUUUAUAGUUUGUAUAUAAAAAAAUGUUUCAUGUCGCCAAUCUUGGCCAAAAGAUAAGGACCUAGUAGUAAUCUGUUGUUUUUAUACUUUGUUUUAUUUUACAUGUUGUAACCAAUAUCUCGAUCUAACCAUACUCACUUUGAACGUAUAUUUUAAUGCACUAUCAAAUGGGCUUGUGCCGGGACCUGGCAUUUUGCAUAUUACAAACAGUAUCUUGUUCUAAUUAAUGCUCAUUAUAGAUUUUAAAUUUUUAUUAUUAUAUUAUGUAAUAUAAAUACAGUUUAAUCAAUGUACUAAACUUAAACAUUAGAUUUAAAUUAAAAAAAUUAUAUUUUUAAUAGUAUUGCUAAAAAACUGUGAACAAAGAUAGUUAAUGACAUCAAAUAUCUAUAAUUUAAGUAUAUUAUGUUAUAUUAGAAGAUUUAUUAACGGAUACUGUAUUUUUUAUAGUAUUAUAUAUUUAUAUCUAUGAUUUUUAAUGGAAAAAUAUUAAAUAUUUUAACUAUUAAAUAAUAAUAUAAUUAAGUUUUCAAGAAAAAAAUAAAACUGAAAUAUUCCAUAUAA